rnacentral:lncRNA from 1 species
GUCACCUUGUGAGGAAGAUGCCUACUUCCCCUUCUGCCAUGAUGGGGCUAUCUAUCUAUCUGAAAAAAUCUGAACUAGAGUCUUGCCAAGGUUUGGAGUUUUUCCCAACAAAAUCUGGAAUAACUGGAUAUCAGCACAACCAAGUUGCCACUUACAGAGGUUGUAAUUGCACAGCUACAGGUGGUAGCACUUGCUUCGUUUCCAUUGUUUUCAAAACAGCUGUCUUGGUAAUAUGUUUUACUCUUCUGAAAUGAGGUGAAAGAAACAGAAAAGAAAAGAAAAAGAUGGGGGCUAUUUUCUUGAGUUUAUUUUCCUUGAGCUCUUUAGAAACUAAAUCAAAUGUAACUGGUCUGUAGCAGGCAUUCUACUAGGAGAGAGUCUAUGGGGGUUAAAGGAUAUUAAUGUUUUAAAAACCUAAUGAUUUUUGUCAAACACUUUCCAUAAAGGUUGUUUAAGGAUUGCAUGGAUGGGUGGAUGAAUAAAUAAAAUAAAGAUGGCAGAUUUACUUUAUUUGGGAAGGCAGCAUGUUGGGAUAGAAAAUUCAAGGACUCAUAAUUGCUUUGUGACAUGUCUAAAACUGGAAUAAUUCGGGGGAAUUAGCAUAACCUCUGAAGAACAACAUUGCAUUUUUAAAAACAUAUGAACAAGAAGCUUUCAUCUGUUAGUUCAAACAAGAAUGGUAUGCCUAUUUUUCAUCUAUCCAUUAGCAAAGAUUAAAAAGUAAUACAGUAAUAGUCAUAGUAAGGGUGUUGUAAGACAAACACUCUCAAUUACUGCUGGUGUGAAUUGAUACAACCUUCCUGGAAAACUCAGUAACAAGUAACAAGAGUCUUAAAAAUUUCCAUACCCUUUAUUCCAAUUAUUCAUCUUUUAAUUGAAUUUCUUGCCGAGCAUGAUUUGUAUAUGAAGAGGUUUAUUGCGGUGCUUUUUGUAAUAGUGAAAAACUGGUAGCGUCCAAAUGUAUAUUAGAACGAUUAAGUAAAUGAUAGAAUAUCCAUAUAAUAGUAUAUUCUACUACCAUUAAAACUUAUAAGUAUGGCUGGGCGCGGUGGCUCACGCCUGUAAUCCCAGCACUUUGGGAGGCCGAGGUGGGUGGAUCAUGAGGUCAGGAGAUCGAGACCAUCC